AGCUCCAAUAGCGUAUAUUAAAGUUGUUGCAGUUAAAAAGCUCGUAGUUGGAUCUCGGGUACCAGCAAGUGGUCUGCUUAAUUGCUGUCACUGCUUGUCUGGUCCUAAUCAACCGGUUGGCCGUUGAUGCCCUUUAUUGGGUGUUUUCGGUAGCCGGUACGUUUACUUUGAGAAAAUUAGAGUGCUUAAAGCAGGCCAUACGCCUGAAUAAUGUUGCAUGGAAUAAUAGAAUAGGACCUCGGUUCUAUUUUGUUGGUUUUGUAGAGCAUUGAGGUAAUGAUUAAUAGGGACAGACGGGGGCAUUCGUAUUGCGGUGUUAGAGGUGAAAUUCUUGGAUCGCCGCAAGACGAACAACUGCGAAAGCAUUUGCCAAGAAUGUUUUCAUUA
rnacentral:rRNA from 1 species